AUUGAACGCUGGCGGCAGGCCUAACACAUGCAAGUCGAGCGGGGUUUUCGGACCUAGCGGCGGACGGGUGAGUAAUGCGUAGGAAGCUACCCGAUAGAGGGGGAUACCAGUGGGAGACGACUGUUAAUAACGCAUAAUGUCUACGGACCAAAGUGUGGGACCUUCGGGCGACAUGCUAUCGGAUGCGCCUACGUGGGGUUAGCUAGUUGGUGGGGUAAUGGGUCACCAAGGCGACGAUCCCUAGCGGGAUUGAGAGGAUGAUCAGCCAAACUGGAACUGGGACACGGCCCAGACUCCUACGGGAGGCAGCAGUGGGGAAUAUUGGACAAUGGGCGCAAGCCUGAUCCAGCCAUGCCGCGUGUGUGAAGAAGGCCUUCGGGUUGUAAAGCACUUUCAGCGAGGAGGAAGGGUGGUGUGUUAAUAGCACAUCAUUUUGACGUUACUCGCAGAAGAAGCACCGGCUAACUCUGUGCCAGCCGCCGCGGUAAAAC
rnacentral:rRNA from 1 species